rnacentral:rRNA from 1 species
UACCCGCAGCACAAGUGGUGGUCAUUAUUAUUGGGCCUAAAGCGUCCGUAGCUGGCUUGUUAGAUGCCUGGGUAAAUCGAUGCGCUUAACGCAUCGAAUUCCGGGUAGACCGGCAAGCUCGAGACCGGGAGAGGUGUAGGCUACUCGGGGGGUAGGGGUAAAAUCCUGUAAUCCUUCGGGGAGGACCAGUGGCGAAGGCGCUACACUAGAACGGCUCUGACAGUGAGGGACGAAGCCCUGGGGCGCAAACGGG